rnacentral:rRNA from 1 species
AAAAAAGCGUAGUCGAUGGAUAGCAGGUCAACAUUCCUGCACUCUGUUGGAAGGUUGAAGCGACGUGACGAAUCCCAAAGUUCAUGCGGCCGACUAGUCGUGGCCGUUGCCGCAAGGCUAACAGCCUGGAUCUGGAUGAUGGAUAGCGGGGUUUCAAGAAAUAGCGUUCGUGGACGACCAAUAGAUCCGUACUAAAACUGACACAGGUAGGCGUGGUGGAUAACCUCAGGCGCUCGAGAGAACGGUUGUGAAGGAACUAGGCAAAUUGACCCCGUAAGUUCGCAAUAAGGGGGCCCUCCUCCCGCAAGGGAAAGGGCGCAGAGAAAAGGCUCUGGGAACUGUUUAUCAAAAACACAGGACUGUGCCAACUCGCAAGAGGAUGUAUACAGUCUGACGCCUGCUCGAUGCUGGAAUUCACAGAAGCCGGUUAGCCGCAAGGCGAAGCUGGCGACUCAAGCACCAGUCAAUGGCGGCCGUAACUAUGACGGUCCUAAGGUAGCGAAGUUCCUUGUCGGGUAAGUUCCGACGCGCAUGAAUGGCGUAAUCACUGGAGCACUGUCUCCACAACCGACUCGGUGAAAUAUAAGACGCGGUGGAGAUACCGUGUACCCGCAGCAAGACGGAAAGACCCCGUGGACCUUCACUGUAGGCUGGUAUUGGCCACGAGCAUGUUCUGCGUAGGAUAGGUGGGAGGCUUUGAGAGCCCGGUUCCGGCCGGGAUGGAGCCAACGUUGAAAUACCACCCUGAAUAUACUUGUGACCUAACUUGGUUCCGUGAAUCCGGGCCAAGGACCGUGCUAGUUGGGCAGUUUGACUGGGGCGGUCUCCUCCCAAAAGGUAACGGAGGAGUGCAAAGGUCGGCUCAACACGGUUGGAAACCGUGUGUCGAGUAUAAGAGCAUAAGCCGGCUUUACUGCGAGACGUACUUGUCGAGCAGUUACGAAAGUAGGCUCUAGUGAUCCGGCGGUUCCGUGUGGAAGGGCCGUCGCUCAACGGAUAAAAGGUACCCCGGGGAUAACAGGCUGAUCGCUCCUGAGCGUCCAUAGCGGCGGAGCGGUUUGGCACCUCGAUGUCGGCUCAUCACAUCCUGGGGCUGAAGGCGGUCCCAAGGGUUGGGCUGUUCGCCCAUUAAAGUGGUACGUGAGCUGGGUUCAGACCGGCGUGAGCCAGGUCGGUCCCUAUCUGCUGUGGGCGUAGCAAUUUUGAGAGGAAUCUUCCCUAGUACGAGAGGAUUAGGAAGGACGUACCCCUGGUGCGCCAGUUGCAUCGCUAGAUGCACAGCUGGGUAGCUAAGUACGGCAGGGAUAACCGCUGAAAGCAUAUAAGCGGGAAGCCCCCCUCAAGAUCAGAAUUGCGUGCGUCGCAAGACGUGAGAGACCCCCGGAAGACCACCGGGUUGAUAGGCGGCAGCUGUACGGGUUGAAAAACCCUCAGGCGAGCCGUACUAACGGUCGAUCGCUUGUUCAC